rnacentral:rRNA from 1 species
AUACGUAGGGGGCAAGCGUUGUCCGGAAUUAUUGGGCGUAAAGCGCGCGCAGGCGGUUUCUUAUGUCUGGUGUGAAAGCCCGCAGCUCAACUGCGGAGGGCCACUGGAAACUGGGAGACUUGAGUGUAGGAGAGGAGAGCGGAAUUCCACGUGUAGCGGUGAAAUGCGUAGAUAUGUGGAGGAACACCCGUGGCGAAAGCGGCUCUCUGGCCUAUAACUGACGCUGAGGCGCGAAAGCGUGGGGAGCGAACAGGAUUAGAUACCCUGGUAGUCCACGCCGUAAACGAUGAGUGCUAGGUGUUGGGGUCUCCAAUCCUCAGUGCCGCAGCUAACGCAAUAAGCACUCCGCCUGGGGAGUACGGCCGCAAGGCUGAA